GACGAACGCUGGCGGCGUGCUUAACACAUGCAAGUCGAACGGAAAGGCCCUGCUUUUGUGGGGUGCUCGAGUGGCGAACGGGUGAGUAACACGUGAGUAACCUGCCCUUGACUUUGGGAUAACUUCAGGAAACUAGGGCUAAUACCGGAUAGGAGCUCCUGCUGCAUGGUGGGGGUUGGAAAGUUUCGGCGGUUGGGGAUGGACUCGCGGCUUAUCAGCUUGUUGGUGGGGUAGUGGCUUACCAAGGCUUUGACGGGUAGCCGGCCUGAGAGGGUAACCGGCCACAUUGGGACUGAGAUACGGCCCAGACUCCUACGGGAGGCAGCAGUGGGGAAUAUUGCACAAUGGGCGGAAGCCUGAUGCAGCAACGCCGCGUGCGGGAUGACGGCCUUCGGGUUGUAAACCGCUUUCGCCUGUGACGAAGCGUGAGUGACGGUAAUGGGUAAAGAAGCACCGGCUAACUACGUG
rnacentral:rRNA from 1 species